rnacentral:sRNA from 1 species
GCCAGGUGUGGUGGUGCAAGCCUGUAAUCCCAGAGGCUUGGGAGGCUGAGGCAGGAUGAUUGUGAGUUCAAAGCCAGCCUCAGCAUCUUAGUGAGGCCCUAAGCAACUCAGUGAGACUCUGUCUCUA